UACGUAGGGGGCUAGCGUUGUCCGGAUUUAUUGGGCGUAAAGAGCGUGUAGGCGGCCAGGUAGGUCUGCUGUGAAAACUCGAGGCUCAACCUCGAGACGUCGGCGGAAACCAUCUGGCUAGAGUCCGGAAGAGGAGAGUGGAAUUCCUGGUGUAGCGGUGAAAUGCGCAGAUAUCAGGAAGAACACCCGUGGCGAAGGCGGCUCUCUGGGACGGUACUGACGCUGAGGCGCGAAAGCGUGGGGAGCGAACAGG
rnacentral:rRNA from 1 species